rnacentral:rRNA from 1 species
GAGCACGCCCAUUCUUGGCUGUGGCAAGCCGCGAACGGGUGAGUACACGUGGGUAACCUGCCCUGAUGAUCGGGACAUCCGAUGAAACUCGGGCUAAUACCGAAUGUGCCCUCCGGCCAUAAUGCCGCUGGGGAAAGGAAGCUUCGGCCUCCGCAUCGGGAUGGGCCCGCGGCCCAUUAGCUUGUUGGUGAGGUAAAGGCUCACCAAUGCAACGAUGGGUAUCUGGUCUGAUAUGACGAUCAGUCACUCUGGGACUGAGACACGGUCCAUACUCCUACGGGAUGCAUCAGUGGGGAAUCUUGCGCAAUGCGCGAAAGCGUGACUCAGCAUCGCCGCGUGGGGGAAGAAUGCCUUCGGGUUGUAAACCCCUUUCAGUUGGGACGAAUCUCCGCCGGUGAACAGCCGGCUGGAGUGACGGUAUCUUCANAAGAAUCCCCGGCUAACUACGUGCCAUCAGCCGCGGUAAU